AGUGAACGCUGGCGGUAGGCCUAACACAUGCAAGUCGAACGGCAGCACAGUAAGAGCUUGCUCUUACGGGUGGCGAGUGGCGGACGGGUGAGGAAUACAUCGGAAUCUACUUUUUCGUGGGGGAUAACGUAGGGAAACUUACGCUAAUACCGCAUACGACCUACGGGUGAAAGCAGGGGAUCUUCGGAACUUGCGCGAUUGAAUGAGCCGAUGUCGGAUUAGCUAGUUGGCGGGGUAAAGGCCCACCAAGGCGACGAUCCGUAGCUGGUCUGAGAGGAUGAUCAGCCACACUGGAACUGAGACACGGUCCAGACUCCUACGGGAGGAAGUAGUGGGGAAUAUUGGACAAUGGGCGCAAGCCUGAUCCAGCCAUACCGCGUGGGUGAAGAAGGCCUUCGGGUUGUAAAGCCCUUUUGUUGGGAAAGAAAAGCAGCAGGUUAAUACCCCGCUGUUCUGACGGUACCCAAAGAAUAAGCACCGGCUAACUUCGUG
rnacentral:rRNA from 1 species